UGGUAGGGGGCAAGUGCAC
rnacentral:misc_RNA from 1 species